rnacentral:rRNA from 1 species
UUUUUAGAGAGUUUGAUCCUGGCUCAGGAUGAACGCUGGCGGCGUGCCUAACACAUGCAAGUCGAACGGAGUCGUUUUGGAAAUCUCUUCGGAGAUGGAAUUCUCGACUUAGUGGCGGACGGG